CAGCUUGUUGGUGGGGUGAUGGCCUACCAAGGCGACGACGGGUAGCCGGCCUGAGAGGGUGUCCGGCCACACUGGGACUGAGAUACGGCCCAGACUCCUACGGGAGGCAGCAGUGGGGAAUAUUGCACAAUGGGCGCAAGCCUGAUGCAGCGACGCCGCGUGGGGGAUGACGGCCUUCGGGUUGUAAACCUCUUUCAGUAGGGACGAAGCGCAAGUGACGGUACCUACAGAAGAAGCACCGGCCAACUACGUGCCAGCGGCCGCGGUAAUACGUAGGGUGCGAGCGUUGUCCGGAAUUACUGGGCGUAAAGAGCUCGUAGGUGGUUUGUCGCGUUGUUCGUGAAAACUCACAGCUUAACUGUGGGCGUGCGGGCGAUACGGGCAGACUGGAGUACUGCAGGGGAGACUGGAAUUCCUGGUGUAGCGGUGGAAUGCGCAGAUAUCAGGAGGAACACCGGUGGCGAAGGCGGGUCUCUGGGCAGUAACUGACGCUGAGGAGCGAAAGCGUGGGGAGCGAACAGGAUUAGAUACCCUGGUAGUCCACGCCGUAAACGGUGGGUACUAGGUGUGGGUUUCCUUCCUUGGGAUCCGUGCCGUAGCUAACGCAUUAA
rnacentral:rRNA from 1 species